ACGGCAGCGCGGGGCAACCUGGCGGCGAGUGGCGAACGGGUGAGUAAUAUAUCGGAACGUACCCAGAAGUGGGGGAUAACGUAGCGAAAGUUACGCUAAUACCGCAUACGAUCUACGGAUGAAAGUGGGGGACCUUCGGGCCUCAUGCUUUUGGAGCGGCCGAUAUCUGAUUAGCUAGUUGGUGAGGUAAAGGCUCACCAAGGCGACGAUCAGUAGCUGGUCUGAGAGGACGACCAGCCACACUGGAACUGAGACACGGUCCAGACUCCUACGGGAGGCAGCAGUGGGGAAUUUUGGACAAUGGGCGCAAGCCUGAUCCAGCAAUGCCGCGUGAGUGAAGAAGGCCUUCGGGUUGUAAAGCUCUUUUGUCAGGGAAGAAACGGUUGGGGCUAAUAUCCCCGGCUAAUGACGGUACCUGAAGAAUAAGCACCGGCUAACUACGUGCCAGCAGCCGCGGUAAUACGUAGGGUGCAAGCGUUAAUCGGAAUUACUGGGCGUAAAGCGUGCGCAGGCGGUUUUGUAAGUCUGUCGUGAAAGCCCCGGGCUCAACCUGGGAAUUGCGAUGGAGACUGCAAGGCUUGAAUCUGGCAGAGGGGGGUAGAAUUCCACGUGUAGCAGUGAAAUGCGUAGAGAUGUGGAGGAACACCGAUGGCGAAGGCAGCCCCCUGGGUCAAGAUUGACGCUCAUGCACGAAAGCGUGGGGAGCAAACAGGAUUAGAUACCCUGGUAGUCCACGCCCUAAACGAUGUCUACUAGUUGUCGGGUUUUAAUUAACUUGGUAACGCAGCUAACGCGUGAAGUAGACCGC
rnacentral:rRNA from 1 species